UACGAAGGGGGCUAGCGUUGUUCGGAAUUACUGGGCGUAAAGGGCGCGUAGGCGGCGUGUCAAGUCAGGCGUGAAAGCCCCGGGCUCAACCUGGGAACCGCGCUUGAGACUGGCAUGCUCGAGUUCGGGAGAGGAUGGUGGAAUUCCCAGUGUAGAGGUGAAAUGCGUAGAUACUGGGAGGAACACCAGUGGCGAAGGCGCUACCUGGACCGGUUCUGGACGCUGAGGCGCGAAAGCGUGGGUAGCAAACAGG
rnacentral:rRNA from 1 species